rnacentral:rRNA from 1 species
GGGGGAAGGGCGGCAGGCCUAACCAUGCAAGUCGAGCGGCAGCACGGGAGCUUGCUCCUGGUGGCGAGCGGCGGACGGGUGAGUAAUGCCUAGGAAUCUGCCUGUUAGUGGGGGAUAACUCGGGGAAACUCGAGCUAAUACCGCAUACGUCCUACGGGAGAAAGUGGGGGACCUUCGGGCCUCACGCUAACAGAUGAGCCUAGGUCGGAUUAGCUAGUUGGUGGGGUAAAGGCCUACCAAGGUGACGAUCCGUAGCUGGUCUGAGAUGAUGAUUAGCCUCUCUGGAUCUGAUACAUUGUCCCGACUCCUACGGGAGUGUGCCGUGGUAAAUCUUUGUUUGUGUGCGCAAACCUGAAGCGUGCCGUGGCGCGGGCGUGAUGUAUGUCAUCGAUAUCUUCGUCUUUUUUCUCUUUUUCUUUUUCCUUUCUACUAUUCCUUUUUUGUCUUUUUUCCCCCCCCCUUUUAUCUUUUUCUUCUUUGUAACAUGUCUGGCUCUGUUCUCUUGCGCGCUUGUGUGUAUGGCUUCCUACUAGUCUUCAGCUUCGAGUCCUUGCCUGUUGUACAAGCCUAACUCGCCCGCUCUGUAUCUCUCCUGUCCCUAGUUUGCUCUACCAUUUCUGCUCUCUUAUGCUCUUUAUUUUUAUCACCGCCUGGUAUCCCUUUCCUCAUCUUUUACUCGCUUUUGGCAGGUGCACACUGAUCACCCUCUACUUCAUACCUUAUCAAACUCCCACUAACCGACCUCAAGUAUCUCUCUACUAUUUAACUAUCUCAUCUUCUGUUCUCCCUCGUUCUCGGCUCCUUUAUAUUUUUUCUUUUCCCCUUUUCUCUCCGCUUUCUACUUGUUUUUUUGUUGUUGGCUUUUUCUUGGGGUGCUAGUCUCUCCUAGGGUUCUUAACUUGUUGUUUUGUUUGCUGAUCUUUUGUCUUAUUUAACUUUCUUUUUAUGAUAGUUUACCUAAGUAAGCACUACCCGAUAUCUUUUAAUGUUUG